GUAUGGUUGUCGUCAGCUCGUGUCGUGAGAUGUUGGGUUAAGUCCCGCAACGAGCGCAACCCCUAUUGUUAGUUGCCAUCAUUCAGUUGGGCACUCUAGCGAGACUGCCGGUAAUAAACCGGAGGAAGGUGGGGAUGACGUCAAAUCAUCAUGCCCCUUAUGACCUGGGCUACACACGUGCUACAAUGGUUGGUACAACGAGUUGCGAGUCGGUGACGGCGAGCUAAUCUCUUAAAGCCAAUCUCAGUUCGGAUUGUAGGCUGCAACUCGCCUACAUGAAGUCGGAAUCGCUAGUAAUCGCGGAUCAGCACGCCGCGGUGAAUACGUUCCCGGGCCUU
rnacentral:rRNA from 1 species